rnacentral:rRNA from 1 species
UACGAAGGGGGCUAGCGUUGCUCGGAAUGACUGGGCGUAAAGGGCGCGUGGGCGGUUGUUACAGUCAGAUGUGAAAUCCCCGGGCUUAACCUGGGAACUGCAUUUGAUACGUGACGACUAGAGUUCGAGAGAGGGUUGUGGAAUUCCCAGUGUAGAGGUGAAAUUCGUAGAUAUUGGGAAGAACACCGGUGGCGAAGGCGGCAACCUGGCUUGAUACUGACGCUGAGGCGCGAAAGCGUGGGGAGCAAACAGG